ensembl:snRNA U6 U6 spliceosomal RNA
GUGCUCGCUUCAGCAGCCCUUAUACUAAAAUUGGAAUGACACAAAGAUUAGCAUGGUCCCUGUGCAAGGACCACAUGCAAAUUCAUGAAGAGUCUUCACUAGAG